rnacentral:lncRNA from 1 species
AUGACAAGGGUCAAAACCAGCCAGAUACAGGGCAAACCCUGCCGUGACCCUGAAGCAAAGAUUUCCGGAAGGUCUCGACGCGGAGGAGGAUCCUUCACCUCGGAUCAGGAGGCAGCGCCGGAGCGUUCGCGCAGCGGCCCGGGUCUCCACGCACCCCUGACCCCCGAGACCUGCCCGGCUCCCACUCACCUGUCCAGCGCCCGCGGGCCGGGCAGGAGCCCCAGCCCCCGCCCCCGCCCAGGCCACCCUUCCAUCCCGCGCCCUCUGCACACAUCUCUGCGAUCACAGCCGGGCCAGCACGGUGCUGAGGAUGAAAUCCAAGGCUUCCACAUACUAGCUGCAGUGGCAGGAAGUGUGCCAUUCUUCUGCAGCAACUCAGCAUGGUCAGUAUUCUGAAGAGCACUGGGAAACAAAAGGAGAGCGAAAAGAUGUCACUGCCAUGCUAAAAACUUGGCUCCUGCUAAGAAUACAGUUAUCAAACUAAACUGGCAAUUUUCAAACUACAGUGUGCAAACCUGAAUACAUAUUAGAGUCAACUAAUGAGCUUUAAAAAAAAAACAAAACAAAUGUCCAGGCUUCAUGAAGUCUCAUUAAACAAAUAUGGCAAGCCUUGGCAGGGGUUUAUAAAUAGAACUUCUUCAGUACAGAGUCUUAGUUAAACUUUUCUCCUUGCUGAGACAAAAUAUCCAAAGUUAAAGAAGAAAAGGGUUAUGUCAGGACAUUUUCAGCAGUUUCAGUCCAUAGUCAACUGGCUCAAGGCAGGGCAGCAUGGCAGAGGGGCACCACAGAGGAGAAACAGUCCAGAGCAGAGCAGACAGGAGGCAUCAAAGCAGCAGCAGCAGCAAGCCUUCCUUUCCCUUUUAUCCCAUUCAGGCUGUUGAUGGUACCACCCACACCCAGGGAGGGCCUUCCCCUUAUCCACACCCAGAAUUAUGCUAAACCAAUCAGUUGACUAAUUUAGUUAUCACACACCCUUAAUCCCAUAUUCACACACUCUAGAUCCAGCCACCUCUGAAAAGCCCAACCUAUGAGCAGAUGAGUCUUUGGGGGGACAUCUAUGUACAAACCAUAACACAGAGGUUCCCAAGUUUUAGCAUGUUCUCAAAGGGUAAUAUGUAUCAGUCUGAUGUAGUAAGUCUUGGGUGGGGUCCAAGAAAUUCUGUUUCUAACAACUUCUCAGGCAAUGGUAUGCUGCAGGUUCUGGAACCACACUUUGAGAAUGGCUGAUCUGGAUCUUUGCAUUGCAAAAUGUGGUCCAUGGACAAGCAGCAUCAGCAUCACUCAAGAAUUUAUUAGAAAUGAAGACUCAGGCCCCACCCCAGACAUGCUGCAUCCAGCCUUGCAGUUUAACAAGAUCCCUAGGUGAUUCAGAUGAACAUUAGCAUUUGAGAAGCAUUUUACAGGAAGUGAUACAAGGAGCUGCUAAAAUACAAUUUCCUUUACAAAGUCUAAUUUAGUAAAUUUUGGAUAAAGAUCUGUAGUCUAUACUUUUGAACAAGCUUCCUUGGAAGUUCACAGGCAGGCAUCUGAGGACAACAUUUUUGAGAAUCUCCACCUUAGGCAUAUUUUUAAAUGUGUCUAAGUCUCAAAUCCUUCACCUAUAAACAAGACAAUGAAUUUUGUAUUUGUUUAAAGUGAAUGGAGUUAAAUUUUUUUGUGUUCUUUCAUCACAAAGAUCUAUGGCUUGUACCAAACAAAGAAUGGUUUUCUAUUUUUUUAAUAAAUAGUGUAAAAAGAAAGCUUACAAAAUUAUGUUAGUCUUUCCCAGUACAAAUUUAUAUACCAGAAAAGAGAAGUUACGCUUUUUAGAAAAAUACUUCAGCAUCUUGCAAUAAUAGUUUGUGCUUAAAGAUUAACUUUAAACUUUUCAAAGUUUAUGGUUAUAGCUACUGAACUCAAUAAAUAUACUUCAAACUGUUUAAUUGUACAUUUAAACUUUAGGGCAUGGUGUGUAAUUAUAUCUUGAUAAAAAUGUUUAAAAGAAAAUAAAGUCUGACUCCUCAUGUCGCAUUACAAUCACUCUCUUUUUCCUGAGAUCAGCCCUAUCUGUAAUUUCCAUCCCAAGGUUGCUGUUUGUUUGUUUUUUUUUGUACCAGGGAUCUAACUCCGGUCCUUGUGCUUUUGAGGCAAGAAUCGGAACCACUGAGCUAAAUCCCUGGCCCCCCAGGUUGCUGUUUCUGUGUCUUCAUCUUUCCAAGCAACCAAAGAGCUAAGAUCUUAGUACCCUUUAAUUCUAAUAUCUGCAUGGUAGGAGUUCUCUACCCUGGCUAUGCAUCAGAAUAGCUAGCCAGAGUCACAUUUUAGAUCUCCUAAUUGGAGCUGGGGUUACAGGAUGUGCAACGGGGCAGCUCAUCCAUCCAUGGCCAGGGGCUAAAACGGGAGCGUUGCCUAGCUCCAUGAGCCCCUCCCAGCAUGUGUUCUAGGGGACCUGAUCCGCUUCCUGACCUAUCCCAUAACAGUAGUCGCUGAGUCAUGAUGAAGAAAAACAAUAGACCAGAGGAAAGAAGUUAAAUGAAAGAGACUGACCGAUUUGGAGAUGUCUGUGCAGAGGAUCCCUGACCAAGUGGAAGAGGAGAAUAAAGAGCUCCCUGGGACAAGCAGGUAUGCCCACCAAGACACACCUGAUAGAGUCAAAGUGACAAUGAAAGUUUUUAAGACUUUGGAGAAACCAAUUCCAAUUAAGCCAGAAAUUUUAGAGACUACAGUGAAGCCAGACAUGCCAGUCACUUGGUAAGCAGAGGAAGAAGGAUCACAAGUUUGAGGUCUGGAUAAGUUAGUGAGACCUUGUUUCAAAAUUAAAAAAAAAAAAAAGCUGGGGAUGUAGCUCAGCAAUAGAGUGCUUGCCUGACAUAGACAAGGCUUUAGGUUUAAAACCCAGCACUGCAAAAAGAAAAGAAAGGAAGAAAGAGUAAGAGAUACUGGAGUGAAAGGAAAAGUCUGGUGAAAAGAUUGAGCCACUUCCAGCUGAGUGUGACACAGUGGAGCAUGACAUCUGCCAGGAAUCCAGGACUGCAGUCCAUCAACUUAGUCCUGGCUAAGUGAGGCCAGAAAGAGUGGCUGCAUUUCUGGGAACACCACCACUAGGCCUGCCAUUUCUGGAACAGAAGUUACUUAAUUUCUCCAUUCAGCUGCCAGUUUUGCUUGUCCACCUGCUGUCUAUAAAGAAGUGUUUAUCUUUGCAAAUGUAAGAGCUCUGUUUUCUCUUUGUGCCUGUUUUUCCAGUCAACCCAGGGUUCUUUUGCUCAGUUUGAAAUAGAAAUCACAAAGAGGCAAAUAGCUUCCUAAUGAGGCUUUAUGGGCUUGUGCUCAAGCAUAAGGCAAACAGCAUGCAAGAAAGAGAUACCCAUCUGGCUCCUCGAGGAAACAGAGGAAAGCUUUUAUAGUCUGAGGCACUAUUGCCACUCCAGGAGCAAUCACAGCAGGAAAAUCUAUGCACACAAAGGCUGCAAGAUUUAAAGAAAACAGGUGGCAUAAAUAGGGCCAUCCUAGGAUGCUUAUUUUCAAAAACCUGCUUCUUGUAAAUGACAGACAACAUAGUUGGGGAUUUAGGCCUUUCUGUCUCACCUUUUUGAAGCUGUUCAGCACUCAUUCUCCUUGACCAGAGGGGGCU